ensembl:lncRNA
GAUAAACGUCACCAGCCGCACUUGGAACUCCGGUACAGGCAUGGCGAUCUCUCUGCUCCACUUCACCGCUUUUUUCCAAGGGGAGGAUAAAAGCAUCGAAAGAGGUCCCAUGGGCUCUACCAGAAGGGGCGUGACUUCGCCGCUUCAUGGCUCCAAGAUCGGUUGGUGUAAUCCUUUUGGGAGCAACGAUAAUUGAAGACAGAUAUCUUGCAGCCCGGUGGCUCGGCCCUUUUAUGGACUUCCUGCUCCAACAAAGCUCACCUGUGGCUCGUUAAGCCAAUCGCAGCUCGGGGAUGAAAGGGAGAGGACCGUUUUUGGCCAGGAGGAAGUGCUGGUGUGAGGACUGAGAGCCGCGGGCCAGAGAAGAGUUAAGGGACUCUGAGAUGACCCAUUGGGACCAGGACUGUCCAAAGACCCCAAAGUUUUAGCCAACUUUUUUGGCGGACAAACUACUUUGAGAUGAUUCCUGGAUAAUGGACGACAGACAUUGAUUAAGGAUGGUUGACUUUGAAGAGCUAUAGGUCAAGCAUCAUCCACCCGCAUCAAGCCAUCCAGCUACCUCCAGUGAGACACAGCCGGUAUCUGAAGCAUCACUCUCCCCUCAUCAAACACUAUCGCUACCUCAAUUGAAAUACAGCCUGCAACAG